UACGUAGGGUGCAAGCGUUAAUCGGAAUUACUGGGCGUAAAGCGUGCGCAGGCGGUUUUGUAAGACAGAGGUGAAAUCCCCGGGCUCAACCUGGGAACUGCCUUUGUGACUGCAAGGCUUGAGUGCGGCAGAGGGGGAUGGAAUUCCGCGUGUAGCAGUGAAAUGCGUAGAUAUGCGGAGGAACACCGAUGGCGAAGGCAGCCCCCUGGGCCAACACUGACGCUCAGGCACGAAAGCGUGGGGAGCAAACAGG
rnacentral:rRNA from 1 species